UCCAAGAACAAAAAUACAACGUACAACAAUAAUUCCUAGCUUCAGUGAAACAACAGUCAAACCCGCCAACCCAUUCGGCCGAAAUCCAUCCAAAUCAACCCAUUUUCCCCCGAUUCCCCUUAUCUCACCCCACAUCCAACCCGUUUUCUACUUCCUCUUCACAGUCACGUGCUCUCCCACACGAUUUUGAUACGAAAUCUUUUAGAAAGAGGGUAAGGUGUUACCCCCAACGUCCGAAUUCUAUGAUUUUCGGGAUAACGCAUAUGGAUUCGUACCUGUUUGGCAAAUUUUUGUUGGUUCUUGGGAAAAUGAUCCAUUUUCCCCAAUGGUUGUUUGCCAUCUGUUGAAAAUCCGAUCAAGAAAAUCAAUAGGGGUACAAUUUGUGAGCAUUCUCCUCUUUUGAAUUCAAAAAACGAACCCUCAAACCCCCCUUUUAUAAAUAGCUCUCUUUAAGGUCUGAACCAAAAAAAAAUAAUUUCUUUUGGACAAUUUUUCUUUCUUUUGGGGACUGUUACUAGGCUUUUAGGUUAAAAAUUAGGGUUUCAAAAAGGGAAAAAUCUUCUGAGUAAGUUUCUGAUUUCGAAAACAGAGAGAGGAAAAAUUUUUGAAUUUUUUUUAAUGAAUUCAAGUUGAAAGUCUUAGUUGAAAAUCUGGGAGGUUUCAAAAUUUCUAAGAGGAAAAAGCAAACGAAUGCUCUGUUGGUGGUCGACGUCGCGAGAUUCUAGUAGCGACAAGUUUGCUGAUAGCUCGUCAUCCCGUUUGCUGCCCCGGAGGAGGUUCUAGGGUUGGGAAAAUCUGAAGAAGGAAAAAUCUUUUCUGAGCUGUCUGGGUUUGAGUAAAGAAACCUCUCUUCGAAAACCUUCUAGUGGUGGUGGUUGAGCUUUUGUUAUAAGUUUGAGUCCCGUUUUACUGCCCCGAAAGAGGUAAACCUAUUUUCGUCCUUUUAAUUUAGUCAUUUUCUGCUUCAUCUCUUUUUGUAGUAGAUUUAGUUAACUAUUUAGUUGUACGCAAUAUUGUUUGCUGGGUUGUUUGCUAAUUAAAGGUCUUAAAGACCAUAGGUUGAUUGUUUUCAGUGGAAGACGAUGCUGUUUGUAGUGUUACGCCAGAGUUAAUUGUUGUGCUGAUUGUAGGACAUAUGGUUUUUGUCGUCUUUUUCGUGACCUGUUGUUAUCUGCUCGUAACACCCUUGAUAAACUUGCGGUCUAGUGACUCACUUUACAUGCUACUUGUGGUUUGAAUAGUUGGUUUCCUGGUUAAAGUUUGAUGCUUUGAUAUUCUUUAAUAUUUUUAGCCUGAUGUUGUUUUUAUUAAUAGCCACUUGAUGGUACUUUGUUUGUUGCUACUGCUGGAUUGUGUCACCAUUGUUGAGCUAGCAACGUUGCUAGCAGAUCUACCUCUUAGGUUUCUUUGGCUUCUUGUGUGCCAAAAGGAUAAUGAGCAAGGUCCAAAAGCGUGUUAGAAAGUCCUGGGAUUCCUCAAUGAUCGCUUCGUUUGAAUCUGUCGUAAGGAGGAGGAGGAGGGGGAGGAUUUGAAUCAGAGUCGUCCUUGCUGAAGAAUGUAGUAUUUUUCUUGUCUCCUUUCAUGGCACAAAUAGUAUAGAAAAUGCUCAUUGUUUUAUGAAGGAAUAAGUGUUGAUAGUAUUGCUGCAAUUUCUGUGUUAUGAAGCCCCUCUCGGAUAAUUCAAUUAGUUUGAUUUUCAUAUAUAUUAAAGAUUUCAAUAUGCGAAUAACCGAAUCUGUAUGUGUUAAAAGGCUUUAUGUUGUCCUUACGCUUAGCAAAGAAUGUUUGAAUCAUGCCUAUGUUUAAAUUUGGUCGCUUUAUUUGUGUUUCAUCUUUUUCCCCUGAAAAUUGAAACUGGUGACAAAAUCUAUACGCAUCUUCGAUUAUUAUGGUUUAAAUGUUGACGGGUGAAGUAUUUUGACUCGAUUACCAUAGAAGUUGCCAUUAUGAGGGAUUGAAUUUGGUCUCAUUUGAGCUCAUGAAUGUUUGUAAUUUCACGUGCAUCGUCUUAAAUAUGUAAAGUCAGUAAUAUGUGUGGCAUAAUUGUUAUUCGAUUUUCAUCAGACAAGAACAAAGCUUCAAAAAUGUCAAACUUUUGGUAAGGUUGGGACCUUUAUUUUUUCUUUAAAUAAUUCUAUCUUGUUUUACGAUCAUCAUCCCUUCUCCGUCUAAAUCCCUCCUGCCCAGUUUAUGGAAAAUCCUUAUAAAACUUAGAAUAUUACAAACGUACAUUGUGAAUUAAUAGGAAACCAUUUAGAAAGAUCAAUCUUCU
rnacentral:lncRNA from 1 species